UACGGAGGGUGCAAGCGUUAUCCGGAUUCACUGGGUUUAAAGCGUGCGUAGACGGUUAUGUAAGUCAGGUGUGAAAGCCCCCGGGCUCAACCUGGGAAUGGCAUUUGAGACUGCAUAGCUAGGGUGCGGAAGAGGGAAGCGGAAUUUCCGGUGUAGCGGUGAAAUGCGUAGAGAUCGGCAGGAACACCCAGGGAGAAAUCAGUGGACUGGCACGGUGCUGACGCUCAGGUGCGAAAGCGUGGGGAGC
rnacentral:rRNA from 1 species